UUGCUUGUUUAUGUAUGUUUUUGUACAGUUCUUUUACUGUUCUGUUGCACCAAUGUCUCAAGAUAAGGGGGAGUGUUGGAGCCUGUAAUUCGGUGGUUGUCGUUGCUGUGUAAUAUAUUCGUUUUUCGUUCAUUAUAUUGUACAUAAAUUAGGCCGUUAGUUUUCUCGUUUGAAUUGUUAAACAUUUGUUUUCUCAGGUCCUUUUUAAAGCUGACUAUGCGGUAUGACUUUGCUCAUUGUUGAAGGCCGUACGGUGAUCUAUAUUUGUUAAUGUCUGUGUCAUUUGGUCUCUUGUGAAUAGUUGUCUCAUUGGCAAUCAUACCAC
rnacentral:lncRNA from 1 species